UACGGGGGGGGGAAGCGUUGUUCGGAAUUACUGGGCGUAAAGGGCUCGUAGGUGGCCAACUAAGUCAGACGUGAAAUCCCUCGGCUUAACCGGGGAACUGCGUCUGAUACUGGAUGGCUUGAGUUCGGGAGAGGGAUGCGGAAUUCCAGGUGUAGCGGUGAAAUGCGUAGAUAUCUGGAGGAACACCGGUGGCGAAGGCGGCAUCCUGGACCGACACUGACACUGAGGAGCGAAAGCCAGGGGAGCAAACGGG
rnacentral:rRNA from 1 species